rnacentral:rRNA from 1 species
CACGUAGGGUGCGAGCGUUGUCCGGAAUUAUUGGGCGUAAAGAGCUCGUAGGCGGUGUGUCGCGUCGGCCGUGAAAACCUGCAGCUUAACUGUGGGCGUGCGGUCGAUACGGGCAUCACUGGAGUUCGGCAGGGGAGACUGGAAUUCCUGGUGUAGCGGUGAAAUGCGUAGAUAUCUGGAGGAACACCGGUGGCGAAGGCGGCAUCCUGGACCGGCAUUGACGCUGAGGAGCGAAAGCCAGGGGAGCAAACGGG